AUUAUUAUUUAUGCAAGAACAAAAUUUGUAUUCAUGUAAAGUACACCAAAUAUCAAACCUUUACCCUUGCCAAAAUAAAAUAUAAUGAAGUUCUGGAAUGCGACAAUGUCAUGGGAAGAUUCCUAUAAGAUUAAAACGCCAGCCUUGUGAAUCAUGUGGUGAGACUCUCUGAUAGAACAGGUUUAAAGAGGGAGGGGUAAACAAAAACAUGGUCCCUUGUAGUUGCCGAAAAUCUUUGAUGAGGUAUAGUAAUCAACAGUACAGGAUCACAAUUUUAAGUACCGCUACCAAUAACAAGACAUUCAGGAGAUGAACAUGGUAGAAAUUGAGGAUGUCAACAUUGAUGCGAAUCAUAGUAGAAAGAAUAAGAUAAGAUAUGAGAAUAAUACACUAACAAAUAGAAGUGACACCAAGUGAGGAGUAGAGGUGACAUUGAAAAUAGAUUAAGGGCAUUGUGAAUCAUGUGGUGAGACUCUCUGAUAGAACAGGUUUAAAGAGGGAGGGGUAAACAAAAGCAUGGUCCCUUGUAGUUGCCGAAAAUCUUUGAUGAGGUAUAGUAAUCAACAGUACAGGAUCACAAUUUUAAGUACCGCUACCAAGUUAUUAGGAACAAGGCUUCAAUCUUUGUCACUAAGUAAUGGACAAAAGGAAAGACAAAGAAAUGACUCAAUGAAUAACUAAAGUAAUUCGAAAGUUGUAGAAAGAAUUGCAUUCUUAUUGUCAAGGCUAAACAUGCAAGCUUGAAGUAACAAAAUAGAAUCAGUAGUCCACCCUUGUUAAGCUAACACAAAGAGUCAGCAAAGGAUGAAAAUCCUUGGUAAUACAUAGAACAAACAUCUACAACAUAAUGACUUCAAUUAUCAUGCUGUCAUAUGUCCCACUAAAUUCACUUCACAACAUGACACCAUUUUCAUUCUCCC
rnacentral:lncRNA from 1 species